GAAUAUGAAAAAGAAGCAGCAAAGAUAUAAGAGAACUUUUAUGUUUGAAUCAAACAACAUAACGAUUACAGGCAAAUCAGCAGUGUUAUC
rnacentral:snoRNA from 1 species